rnacentral:rRNA from 1 species
GAUGAACGCUGGCGACGUGGAUAAGGCAUGCAAGUCGAAUGGGUUUAGACCCAUGGCGAACGAGGUAGUAACACGUAGGUAUCAACCCUCAAGUCAAGGAUAAUCUAUGGAAACGUAGGAUAAUACUUGAUAGUCCCUUCGGGGUAAAGAUUCAUCGCUUGAGGAUGAGCCUGCGGAGUAUCAGCUUGUUGGUAAGGUAAUGGCUUACCAAGGCUAUGACGCUUAGGGGAGGUGAGAGCCUGACCCCCACCGAUGGUACUGAGACACGGACCAUACACCUACGGGUGGCCGCAGUCGAGAAUCUUCCACAAUGGACGAAAGUCUGAUGGAGCGACGUCGCGUGAUCGAUGAAGUCUUUCGGGAUGUAAAGAUCUUUUAUAAGUGAAGAAAUUUUGACAUUAGCUUAUGAAUAAGGGGUUGCUAAACUCG